rnacentral:rRNA from 1 species
AACGAACGCUGGCGGCAUGCCUAACACAUGCAAGUCGAACGAGACCUUCGGGUCUAGUGGCGCACGGGUGCGUAACGCGUGGGAACCUGCCCUUAGGUUCGGAAUAACUCCCCGAAAGGGGUGCUAAUACCGGAUAAUGUCUUCGCACCAAAGAUUUAUCGCCUUUGGAUGGGCCCGCGUUGGAUUAGCUAGUUGGUAGGGUAAAAGCCUACCAAGGCGACGAUCCAUAGCUGGUCUGAGAGGAUGAUCAGCCACACUGGAACUGAGACACGGCCCAGACUGCUACGGGAGGCAGCAGUGGGGAAUAUUGGACAAUGGGCGAAAGCCUGAUCAAGCAAUGCCGCGUGAGUGAGGAAGGCCUUAGGGUUGUAAAGCUCUUUUACACGGGAUGAUAAUGACAGUACCGGGAGAAUAAGCUCCGGCUAACUCCGUG